CCUGGCUGUGCCUCACUCCCGUUGCAGACAGCCCCUCUGCCAGCACGGUCUGCUGAGCAGCGCUUUGCUUCUGGCUUCUGUAAAGUUAAUUGGUUUCGAGGUUCCAGGAACAAGCGAAGGAGAAAAACCCACUCUCCAACGUGCGGGAUCAUUGAAUGCUCUCUGCUUUGAUUUUCUGCAAAUCUUCAGCUUGACAUGGUGGAGUCCAUGUCCUCUGCUCACCUGGAAAAUGCACCAGAGAGGGAUGUCACAUGCUGGACAAGGAAGGGGACAGUAAAAAGCAGAUAUGGCUGCAUUUGUGCCAGUAGCAGGGGAAGGGCAUUUGGAGGCUGGGAAGGAGCAGACAGUCUCCAAAUCACUUCCCACAGGUCCUCCAGUGUGCUACCCCACAGCAGUCGCUGCACCCUGUGCCACGGGACCACACUGGCUGUCCCCGUGCCCAGCACCUGUGCUGUGUUUGCUUACAGGGCGGGAGCUCUUGCUGCCUUUUACAGCCCCGCUGAGCUGCUUUACCGCCCAUCCCUGGACGUCUCUCCUCAGGUGCCACGUGGCUGCACCCGCCAUCACCAGCCACCAGAGCAGGGAAAGGGUUAAGCUGAUGGCUUGAGGCCAGCCAUGCCCAUCCUCUGGGUGCCUCUGGCUCCCCCUUCACACUGCCAAACCUGGCUGCCUCCAGUCCCCCGGCGUGCCAGCCAGCGCUGGUUCAGCACUUACGCACGCUGCUGUUAUUAGAAAUUAGUUAAUGGAUGUGUGUCUCCAGCCAAAGGAGAGCGGCAGUAACAGGAGCCGUGGGAUUGCCGGGAGCGUGAGGGCAGAGCUGCCACUGAAUAUUUAACAUCCCUCGAUGUCCAGGCGAUAGGGUGCCUCUUCUCCCGAUGGCGACGCUCACUGCUGGCUGGCAAAGCCCUUUCCAUCCCAGGCUGCCCGAGGCUUCGCAAGGAUUUAUGAAAGAUAUGCAUAACACAAAUAAAACCUUCCAGCA